rnacentral:lncRNA from 1 species
CAAGGCUGCGUCUGCGGCCUCAUCAGCCGCCAUUGCCAUGGCCCGGUAGAUGUUUCCGGCACUAGUUCCUUUGACAGAUGUUUAUCAGAUGUGUGCAGUGUGCCAGGGACUGCUCAAACGUGUGACGAAGGGAGAGAAAACAGGCACGAUCAUCGCUCUCAUGAGGCUUUACGUUUACCAUGAAGGAAAUACAGGGGUGAAAAUGAUCCGUGGGAUGGGAAUAUAUACACAGCAGCAAGAGCAGAGGGAAGGGGAAGAGGGAGAGGUCAGGGAGACCCAGGGAAGAGCGGAGGUUUACAGCAGCACAAUCUGCAAGGCUCUGCGGACAGCGGAACCCUAGAUGACAGGCCCGUGCCCCCUGGCAGUUGGAGGGAGGCUGUGUCUGGAGUGCAGAGCGAGGAGGAGAAGGAGGCAGAGAGGAGCUUGGUGGAAGGGAAGAGCCUUCCAAGGUCAAAGUCAGGGCUGCAGGCUUUCAGCACACGAAAGCGGAGAAGGUGAAGGGGGGGCGGGUGUGCAGCUUGAGACAAGCUUGCUGCUGGCCAAAGAGGGACUGAGUGGCCCUGGCUGCAGAGGUCCCAGAGGAGCCUCUGCUGGCAUCUAGGAGAGAGGAGGUGGCCACCUUGCCCUGGGCAGUGGCUGUGGAGGGCAGGAGGUGGAGAGGUGAAGUGAGGUUGUGGAGUCCAGCUGGGGAGAAGGCGGAGAGAGGGAUGGGGCAGAGUCCAGCUUGGCUUGGCCUUCGGGGAGGGACAGAGUUGGCAGGCACAGGCAGAGAGGGGCAGGAAGCUGUUUAUUCCUCGUUCCUGGAACAGGAUCGGAUACCCUCACUGAAGAGAAGAAGCUUGGAGAAACCCAUCCUGUCCUGUUUUGAAGUUCUUCUGAGAUUCUGUGGCAGACACACUGACCUCUGGAUGCUCCUCCUGUUCUUGUACACUCUGGCAUGGACCUACACACAGAGGCUCAGAGACCAUCCAAGCCUGGUAGAGCACAGGAUGCCAUUUCUCAGCCAGGAAGAAGUUUUCUCUUUUACUAACUUAGAAAACUCACAAAGGCCCAUUCAAGGUUCUUAUAGCCACUCUUCUAGAGCUUCUGGCUUCCUCUGGAGAUGCAAUUGGAAUCACAGUAGGCUCCUACUCUGCUCAUCUCCUGCUUCUGGUCUCUGCUUAGCCAAAGAGCGCACGGUCCCUACUUCCAGGAGCAGAGAGAAGACAAUUCAGGUGGAUCAACACAAGCUUUUAUGUGACCUCUAUUUUCCUGGGCCCAGUCCUAAAGAGAGAAUUUUACCAUUCCUACCCUAUAUUUUGACCCUUGUCUAUUUUCCUUCUGAUUUUUGUGAUCUUAUUUUGUUUUGA